UUUAUAUACAAUGUGCAUAGAUUAACUAAACUGGCAAUGUUGGAGCCCCUACUGUCAUUUCAUCAACUAAGCAGCUCUUUCAGGGAGCCUUGCAAAAAGUCAGAAAUCAUGUUUCCACCAUUCCAAAGGGUUAUUUGUAAUGGUUCCGUCUCAGGGUUAUUCACUAAGGCGACUAAUGCUGGGAAUUCACAGUUCAUUUUAAAUUUAAGCCCACAAUACCCAAACGGAAAUCAGAAAUAUACUUUCUAAUUCAGCUAUUUUAGUCUUAAUUUUGAAAUUCCCUUUUUUAGUCACGGCAAUUCUCACUUUGGUAAAUAGCCC